rnacentral:rRNA from 1 species
UACGGAGGGUGCAAGCGUUGUUCGGAAUUACUGGGCGUAAAGGGCGCGUAGGCGGCUGGAUAAGUCAGAUGUGAAAGUCCACGGCUCAACUGUGGAAGUGCAUUUGAAACUGUCCGGCUUGAGUAUCGGAGGGGAGUGUGGAAUUCCCGGUGUAGAGGUGAAAUUCGUAGAGAUCGGGAGGAACACCGGUGGCGAAGGCGACACUCUGGACGAAUACUGACGCUGAGGCGCGAAGGCGUGGGGAGCAAACAGG